UGGACAGUCCAUUAUCUCUCAACUUUUCAAAUGUAGUGUCUGGCUCUAGUUCUUCUUGAGUAUGUUAUGCAUGUAUAUGGGAUUAAUUGAUGUUUUGUAAUUGUUGUUCAAUAACUUCAAAAUUUUUAUGGGUCUCUCUCUCUCUCUAGCAGUAUCUGACCUGAGGAGAUUGUAUGCCUUACUAAAUGAAUCUGGAAAUCUUGAUCUGACUGUUUGAGCGAUUCAAUAUGCAGGAUGCAUUGAAGUCUAGUUUGGAAGCUUCCGUUAUUCCUGCCUUUGAGAUGUCAUGCAAAGCCAUGUUUGAGCAAGUUGAUGCUACCUUCCAGAAAGGAAUGAUUGAACAUGCAACUGUAGCUCAGCAGCAGUUUGAGUCCACUCAUUCUCCACUGGCACUUGCUUUAAGGACAUGUUCAUGAAAAUUACUUGAGAGCUUCUGGUCAUCAUGGUUGUUGAGGGAACCGGCUCACUGUAAUAAUGAAAGUCCUUUGCUGGUGGAUAUACACUUAUAUGCUUGUAUGUUUGUUCUAUUUUAACUUUCUCAUCUUCACCUCAGGUGUGCUGAUAAUAUGCUUCUUUGACACACGCUGCAGCGUGAUUUCUAACUCGCUAGCAAUGGUAAACAUUUACUGAUUGUGGCAUGCCAUGUAUCUGUGUUUUGUAGGUCCUAGCUCAAGUCAAGCCACACAAAAGCAGACAAGAGGUUCACCUUUCAAAGAAAGAGAAGAAGAAUAAGAAGAAGAAAAAGAACUAACAAGGAAUAGGCUACCAAAAGCAAGUCUGCAGGAAAGGCAUAGUACCAGACUAUGAUCUCCGACAGCGAUUACACCGAGUUUGAAAACUUCUCAAAGUGGUUGGGAGUCUCCCAGUGAGAUUUUUCUGUCUUUGAGUUUUGUCUUAGGUAUACUAUCUUUAUGUAAUUGUUUUGUUUCAAGAGGAGUUAAUUUACUUUUUGUGGCAGCUUUGAGACAAGAAUUGAGUUUGGUGGGUUAUGUUUUAUGACAAGAUGGAUGGAUUUUUCAUUUUAGCA